rnacentral:rRNA from 1 species
UACGUAGGGGGCAAGCGUUGUCCGGAUUUAUUGGGCGUAAAGAGCGUGUAGGCGGCCAUGCAGGUCCGUUGUGAAAACUCGAGGCUCAACCUCGAGACGCCGGUGGAAACCGUGUGGCUAGAGUCCGGAAGAGGAGAGUGGAAUUCCUGGUGUAGCGGUGAAAUGCGCAGAUAUCAGGAAGAACACCGGUGGCGAAAGCGCUCUGCUAGGCCGCAACUGACACUGAGGGACGAAAGCUAGGGGAGCGAAUGGG